rnacentral:rRNA from 1 species
CGCGGAUGCGACUCUUUGAGUCGUGUGGUAGCGGAGCGUCGAGCGUGCAGCGAAGCGGCGGGACAACCCAGCCGUGGAGCGCGUUCGAGUGCGAAUGUUGGCAUGAGUAGCGAAUGAGGGGUGAGAACCCCCUCCGCCGUAUGUCCAAGGGUUCCUGGGCGAGGCCAAUCCUCCCAGGGUGAGUCGGGAGCUAAGGCGAGGCCGAGAGGCGUAGUCGAUGCACAACUGGUUGAUAUUCCAGUACCACCAUGUUCGCGUCCGUCCCAAUACUCUGUUGCUAAGGGGCUGUGUUGACUUCGGUCAACGCGAACCGACCCACAUUGUUGCGGGAAGCUGUAGGGGGACGCAGGAAGGUAGAUGAACCCGGUGAAUGGUAGAACCGGGUAAGCGUGUAGGAGGAGGACCAGGUAAAUCCGGGCCUCAUAAACUCUGAGACGUGAUACCGAGCCGCUUCAGGCGAAGUCAUUGAUCCUAUGCUGCCUAGAAAAGCCCAGCAGCGAGUUGACAUGGUGCCCGUACCCCAAACCAACACAGGUGGACAGGUAGAGCAUACCAAGGCGAGUGGGAUAACUAUGGUUAAGGAACUCGGCAAAUUGCCUCCGUAACUUCGGGAGAAGGAGGACCCCAGUAGCGUGAUGAGACUUGCUCUCUGAGCGUGAAGGGGUGGCACAAAAUUGAGGGAAGCGACUGUUUACCAAAAACACAGCAGCGUGCUAAGCCGUAAGGCGCUGUAUACGCUGUGACUCCUGCCCGGUGCUGGAAGGCUACGGGGAUGGGUUAGUCCUUCGGGACGAAGCUCUGAACCUAAGCCCCAGUAAACGGCGGCCGUAACUAUAACGGUCCUAAGGUAGCGAAAUUCCUUGUCGGGUAAGUUCCGACCUGCACGAAUGGAGUAACGACUUCCCUACUGUCUCAACCAUAGACCCAGCGAAAUUGAAGUACGAGUAAAGAUGCUCGUUAGCUGCAGAAGGACGGAAAGACCCCGUGGACCUUUACUAUAACUUGAUGUUGUGUUUUGUCAUAUGUUGUGUAGGAUAGGUGGGAGACUUGGAAGCAUGGACGCUAGUCUGUGUGGAGUCAUCGUUGAAAUACCACCCUGCAUAUGGUGAGGCUCUAACCUAGACCCGUUAUCCGGGUUGGGGACAGCGUCAGGCGGGUAGUUUAACUGGGGCGGUUGCCUCCUAAAGAGUAACGGAGGCGCCCAAAGGUUCCCUCAGCCUGGUUGGCAAUCAGGCGUUGAGUGCAAUGGCAAAAGGGAGCUUGACUGCGAGACCUACAAGUCGAGCAGGAGCGAAAGCUGGGCAUAGUGAUCCGGCGGUUGCGUGUGGAAGCGCCGUCGCUCAACGGAUAAAAGGUACCCCGGGGAUAACAGGCUAAUCUUGCCCAAGCGUCCAUAGCGACGGCAAGGUUUGGCACCUCGAUGUCGGCUCAUCGCAUCCUGGGGCUGAAGCAGGUCCCAAGGGUUGGGCUGUUCGCCCAUUAAAGCGGUACGCGAGCUGGGUUCAGAACGUCGUGAGACAGUUCGGUCCCUAUCCUCUGCAGCCGGAGGUGAAUUGAGAAAAGCUGUCCCUAGUACGAG